CCCCUUUUUUGGCAGCGGAGACACCAUGGUCAAGAAGAUGGUUUUCCCAGUGUGAGGCUUAUUCAUUGUACUUGGGAUGUGCUGAUUCCUGUGAUUUCUCCAAAUGUAGGAAACUUGAUUGUGUAGUUUGUGAUAGUAGAAGGUUGCAUUCUGG
rnacentral:snRNA from 1 species